rnacentral:misc_RNA from 1 species
UUCGCAUUUCGGGAAAUCCCUUCAUUCUGAUUGUGGGAAUUUCCGUUUCCUAUUUUUUUUUUACCUAACACACUAUCUAUACCAGGGCUUGCCAACCAGGUUCUCAGUUGAGAGGAAGGGACCGAGCUGGAAACAGUCGGCAAAGAAAGCAAACUGGCUUUCUCGUUUUCUUACCAACACUGAUCUUGAUGUGAUUGAGUUGGACUACAUUGGAAGGCACGCACUGAAUUCCGUUACCAAUCUUCAGUAACAGCCCAAGAUGCCAGUGAAUUAUAGUGUGACUGACUAUCACGACCAGGAGAACAUCAGCUGCGACAGCAACGACAAGCUGCAGCUGGCGGAGCAGACAGGCGACAGCCGCAUGGUCCUGAAGGAGGAGUUGCGCCUGAAGAUUCAGCUGAAGCGCCUCCAGCAGGGCAAGCCGGAGAUGGAGGUCACGUUUGAUGAACCUAGACAGUACGAGCUGUCGGAAGAAGAGAAGGCGAAGCAGGAGAGACGAAAGGAAAGAAACAGGGUAGCAGCCAAAAACAGUCGCAAUAAGAGAAAGAAGCACCAGCAGCAAGUCGAACACAAACACAAGGAGCUCAACAAUGAGAACACGAGUCUCCGCACAGACGUGGAGAAACUUCGCAAGACGUUGAGGUCUCUGCAGAAAGCGGCCUUAGCCACCCGGCGGGUGUGCAGCAUGCGCCUCUGUCACAACUAAGUGUCGCACCCUUCACGAUGGGUCGCCAGGCUACAGCUCUCAGCGGUGAGGGGGUCCUUCUCAUGAAAGGUCCUGACCUUGUACAGCAAGUUCCUGACCAACGCAGUGCAUGCGGCAAUUAUAUAUCAGAGGAGACAGGCGAGGUUUCUAACCUCAAGAUUGCCACUUAUUUUUUGAAUGAGUUGUUGCAACUGGGGAACCACACUGCUCAGAACGAGAUGACAAAUACAGCUGUAGAUAAUCACCUCCUGCCACACAAGAGUGUUAGCUGCAACCCCGCUUUCUCCUCCACCAAGUCAAAAGCAGCGCAAAGAUAUUCACCUUACUCGACCAGCCACUCUUUUCGACCCAUUUCAGGAAAGGUCCGAAUGUCCAGCGUGGACAGCUCGCCAUGCAGCUCCCCAAGUCCAAGUUUUUCCUAUGAGUCCCUGAAGAUUUUCGCCGACAUUGAUAUCAAUAGCAUGCAGCGGGACUGCCAGUCAGAGUACUGAUGUAACAUUCCAGUCACCAGUCCAGUUGGCUUCCAGGCAAAUCAGAAGGAUUUACAUUUUUAUGUGUUUGUUUUUUAAGUCCGUAGCUUUUUUUCAUAACAUAUCGAUGUUUCUCGAUGUUAUAUCAAAUUCUGGGACUCUAUCUUCUCCCCAAAUAUUCAGCAUUGCUUUUUGUCGUCUUGGAACUGCGUAUUUGAUUUUUUUAAAUUUUAUUUUCUCGUCCACGUUUCUUGUUCAACAGUGAAGCUGAUCACGGCUGCGAUAUGCUCAUCUCACACGGGAGUUCACGAGAGUGCCUCUCGGUGAAGAGCAGACGAUUGUAUACUUAGGACUCGUUGGUAUAGGACAUUUGUUGUGGAUCAUACUUCACUGGUUUUUCGACCUAUUAUGUUUGUCACAGAAUGUCACCAUCACAUCUGAGAAACUCGUGACCGUGUGGUUCAUAGAAGGUAGGGAGGUACUGUCAUCUAGAUAAAGGUACACGACUGCGUACCUUACCACAACUUUUCUUUGAUUCCUUUUUUAUUUUAGUAACGUUGGCAUUUAUUUUAAAUACUUUACCAUGAUAAAGUUGUUUAGGAAUGAUUAACAGACAGUAGAAAAGUCAAGCCUCUUGAUACCUUGCUGCCUGAGAUAAACUGCUCCAAAUAACCUUGUGUAAAAGUCUUGGAAAGACGGAAUAAUGAGGGUUACAUCCCAUUAAUCGCUCUCCGCGCUCUCUAAGCAAUCGUGCCACACUUAAACGGCUGUUAGACUUGCAUCAGACUGAGAUAAAACUGACAAAGAAUAUUUUUAUGCACUACUUCUAAGGUUCUUAAUUUUUGCCUAAGAGUACAUUAUAGAUGCCGUAAACCAGGUAUGUCGUGAGAUAGUUUAGCAGCAGUGAGUCGAAUCCUGUCCUUCUUUGGCAUUCUUUUUUCUUCCCGUCUUCAUCUUCUCUUCCACACAUUGUCUCCGUGAGAGGUCUCUGGGUCGCGUUUUUAGCCUCUGUUGCCAAGGGAUGCUGAUGACGUCAGUGAGCUGCUUACAGCAGCCGUGUCCACGAGAGUGUUCCUCACUGCACGGCAGAUGCAUCCCCUACCCUGCUGCACGCGCUGACGUGUCCAACGACCAGACACAGCAUGCAGCAGUCGCAACAACCUCGCGCGUGACUUGACACCUGGGAGACAAAGUGCUGCAGGAAGCUGUCCUCAGACUAAUUGAUGUGCUUAACACAGUUUUCAUUGUUCCUUGCCUCAAGGUCUAUACAAGUUCUUCUAAAAGAGUCAGUUAACAUUUUCCUCUGCUCGUAGCCUUUAUUUCAGUCUUUGGAAUGUAGAGCAAUUGCUGGAUCGACAUUUUUUUUUAAAGAUGAGACAAUGGUAAAUGCAACGUUUUGUUUUCUUAGAGAAUGUCUGGGUCUCAGCUUCGUCACAUGCUAGGCUUUAACAUUUUGUUGUUAAGGGGUUUGAUCUGAAGUAUUAAUUUUUUUUUAUUUUUGGAAGAAGAUGGAUAAAUGAGAUGAUCGUGCUUCCCUAGUCUUAAACCUAUGCGGUCGAGACUAGUCCUAGCUUCAUACACACUUUCAACGAGUAUGCACUUUUGCCACAUUCGUCGGUGUUGGCUUUGCUGUUCACGAUGGUCUUACGAGAGUUCGCCCGCAGUGGACGAAGUCAGCACCGAUUAAAACAGCAUCAGACACUACAUCGUGAGGGAGACCAGUAGGCAGUCCACACCUUAGGAAGCUCGGGUGGCGGACCACGUUGGCUUCCGGAUGAGUACCCUGAAAAGGCUGCUCAUUUUCGGGCUUAAGCCGAUAGGUCCGUCGCUCACUUCCUGGGGCUCCAAGCACAAGAUUUAUGUUCUUGAAAAAGAAACAUGAUAUUUUGCUUUCAAGCGAGGUUAAUUUUAUUACAAAUUCUUUCUGGGAAUCGGUUCUAGGAUUAUAGAAGGAGAUAGGCUGGGUUGAAGCGGUCUAGUGAUGCGUAGUAUCAAGAAGAAAGAUGGAAGAUACAUUUGAUGCUCUUUCAGAUUAAAGCUUAGUUUAUGACGAAGCUGCUACUCUUCAAGAAAACUUUUGCAUCAAUCAUUAACUUGUCGAGUUUUGUGAGAAAUUGAGAUCUUCUAUCCCUAUGAACACCUAGAAAUAUAAGAAAUGACUGUUAGCUCCACGUCCUCAUUUUCCUGUGACAUGGUCAAAAUUAAAUCUUGAUUUUUUUUUUUACAAAAAUAAUAUUUAUGAUUUGUAUGUAUAUCAUAUAUAUUUGUCUGUAUAUCAGAUUAUAUGUAAUGUCAUUUUGUCAUACCUGUGUCAAGAUUAUCUCAUAAAGUAUAACUACGUUGUUUUUGUAUAUGUAAUCAACAUUUCAUGAAUUUUUCUAAUCAUUUUUUACAACUCUACUUAAUGUUUACUUUGGCGAUGGAAUGUAAUGGGUUUUGAAUGUAUCUUACAAUGACAUUUAAUGUGUAAAUGAAAAUUGUCUCUCCUUGUAACAUAAACUGCAUUUUGCCUUGUCCUAGUAAAGAUGACACUUUCAAAAAAACUAA